CACGUAGUUAGCCGGGGCUUCUUAGUCAGGUACCGUCAUUUUCUUUCCUGCUGAUAGAGCUUUACGUACCGAAAUACUUCUUCACUCACGCGGCGUCGUUGGAUCAGGGUUUCCCCCAUUGUCCAAUAUUCCCCACUGCUGCCUCCCGUAGGAGUUUGGGCCGUGUCUCAGUCCCAAUGUGGCCGUCCACCCUCUCAGGCCGGCUACUGAUCGUCGCCUUGGUGGGCCGUUACCCCGCCAACCAGCUAAUCAGACGCGGGCCCAUCCCAUACCACCGGAGUUUUUCACACACCUUCAUGCGAAGCUGUGCGCUUAUGCGGUUUUAGCACCUGUUUCCAGGUGUUAUCCCCCGGUAUGGGGCAGGUUGCCCACGCGUUACUCACCCGUCCGCCACUAACUUACACUUCCGUUAGUCAAUGCAAGCAUCUCCUGCUUCUGUGUAAGUCCGUUCGACUUGCAUGUGUUAGGCACGCCGCAGCGUUCAUCCUGAGCCAGGAUCAAACUCU
rnacentral:rRNA from 1 species